rnacentral:rRNA from 1 species
GACAGCAGUCGCCGCGGUAAUACGGAGGGUGCAAGCGUUAAUCGGAAUUACUGGGCGUAAAGCGCACGCAGGCGGUCUGUCAAGUCGGAUGUGAAAUCCCCGGGCUCAACCUGGGAACUGCAUUCGAAACUGGCAGGCUAGAGUCUUGUAGAGGGGGGUAGAAUUCCAGGUGUAGCGGUGAAAUGCGUAGAGAUCUGGAGGAAUACCGGUGGCAAAGGCGGCCCCCUGGACAAAGACUGACGCUCAGGUGCGAAAGCGUGGGGAGCAAACAGGAUUAGAUACCCGAGUAGUCCCUGUCUCUUAUAC